UCUCACAGAAGGGACACGGAAUUUUGGCACAAAAAACCUUCAAUAGAGAGACUGACCUUCUUGAUUAUAUUUUUCUGAUUUUCUCCUCCUUAAGCAAAAACCAAGGAAAUAGAAAAACAACAAAGAGAUGUCUAAGAUGAUUGUUCUUUACUUAAUCUGAUGGUACUUCUUUUGAACCAUGAAUGGCAAAUGGAAUGUGAACAUGCUUGUGCGGAAGAUGUACUCAUGCUGAAAUUAAUGGAGUUAUUCAUGUUGAACUUCAACCUUCAUGUUCUUUUAAGCUAUUCAGCUUUUUUCUCUGACUUUUUCCCUUUUUAGCUCUCAGCUAAAAAUGAUAAUUUUGUUGUUGUAGUCAAUGGUUAGUUGGUUGUUCAAUAUCAAAUGCUUAGUAGUUCAUUUUUAUGUGCUGGAUUUGCUUGAGAAUUUAGUUCGUUGAAGACAAGUGUAUAAACAGCACGUCCUUGUGAGCUUGUCAUGCAUUUAAUUAGUUUCACUUGAUAAGCUUAAGAUCUAGGUGUCACCUAACUGAUCCCACAUGCUAAUUGAGUCUUUGUUGCAUUGAUUUGGUAAAGUAAGUGAUGUAUAGUAAAUGUUUGCAUUGAGCUAUGCGAUGCCUGUUUAGAGUUGGAAUUUUA